rnacentral:tRNA from 1 species
CAGGUGUAGUUCAAUGGCAGAACGUCAGCCUUCCAAGCUGAACAUGAGGGUUCGAUUCCCUUCACCUG